AUACACAUCAUCUGGGGAUCUUGUUAAAAUGAAGAUUCUGAUUCAGUAAGUCUGGGUCAAGGCCCAAGAUUCUGCAUUUCUAACAGGCUCCCAGGUGAUGCCGAU
rnacentral:pre_miRNA from 1 species